AAAUGUAAAAACGAUGUGAUAAAAUGCAAUUGGAGGACGGAGGGACAACAACCAGAGAGACGCUAAUGUAGAACGUUGAGGCACUCUGGAAGCCUGGACAACAGCCUGCAACACAACGAUAAGAAUCCAACCAUCAGACAUCCAACUAUUAGACAUAGCAACAUCCAACAGUUUGCAUCUCGACUACGGGGCCUUCAGGCAUCCAGGCGACCUGAAAUUAAAAUAAGUAUCUUUUCUUUUAAACAGUCUGCUAAAUUUGUUGUUGAUUCUACUGUUUUUAACUAGAUUGCUAGUUUGCUUUGGCUUGUGCCGUUUUUAGUGACAGUUCUUGCUGUAGACUCUGCUGUAUUACAUUAAUCUGAAUGCUAGCGUGCCCUCCUAUCGCAGACUUCAUCUCCGGCUUCACUAUCCAGCAGUCGCCUGACUUCCUCGCUCUCACUGAGACCUGGACCACACCGGAGAACACAUCCACUCUGCUCUCUACUCCGCCUUCAGCCACACACCCAGACCCUCUGGCAGGGGUGGUGGCACAGGUUUACUCAUUUCAUCCACCUACUAUGUUUUGAAUUCCAUGCUGUGACGGUUACUGACCCGGUACAAUUAAAUAUUGUUGUUCUUUACCGUCCGACAGGCUCUUUGGGUAAUUUCUUGGAAGAAUUGGACAUCCUCCUGUCCAACUUCCCUGAAAAAGGCCCUCAACUCAUCCUCCUAGGAGACUUCAACAUCCUGACAGAGAAGUCAUCUGACCUUUCACUCCUACUUUCUUCCUUUGCACUGUCACUCAAUCCCUCUCCUCCUAUUCACAAAGCUGAAGAUUACAUCUUCAUUAGAAACUCUGCCAGCAUCGGAAAGGAAAUGACGUAAAUACAAACAACGCGAUGACCUGCAUGCGUUUCAGUGUCUUCUCUUCCCUCUUUUUCUGCCUCUCUCUCUGCUGUCAAAAGCUCUUUCUACCAAUCCAGAAUUGAGUCCUCAUUUUCUGACCUCAAAAUACUAUUUUCUAUCUUCACCAACCUCCUUAAACCCCCCAGUCCUCCUCCACCAUCCACGCUCCUCUUUCUCAAACCCACCUCUAUCCCUCUCGCUUCCCUCUUUCACCCCUCUGUCUCCUAACCAAGUUCUUACCUUAGUAACCUCUGCCUGUCCCACCACCUGCCUUCUCGACCCCAUUACAUCCCACAUUCU